rnacentral:rRNA from 1 species
UACGUAGGGCGCAAGCGUUAUCCGGAAUUAUUGGGCGUAAAGAGCUCGUAGGCGGUUUGUCGCGUCUGCCGUGAAAGUCCGGGGCUCAACUCCGGAUCUGCGGUGGGUACGGGCAGACUAGAGUGAUGUAGGGGAGACUGGAAUUCCUGGUGUAGCGGUGAAAUGCGCAGAUAUCAGGAGGAACACCGGUGGCGAAGGCGGUUCUCUGGGCAUGACCUGACGCUGAGGAGCGAAAGCGUGGGGAGCGAACAGG